rnacentral:rRNA from 1 species
CAGCCGCCGCGGUAACACGGAGGGAGCUAGCGUUGUUCGGAAUUACUGGGCGUAAAGCGCACGUAGGCGGCUUUGUAAGUCAGAGGUGAAAGCCUGGAGCUCAACUCCAGAACUGCCUUUGAGACUGCAUCGCUUGAAUCCAGGAGAGGUGAGUGGAAUUCCGAGUGUAGAGGUGAAAUUCGUAGAUAUUCGGAAGAACACCAGUGGCGAAGGCGGCUCACUGGACUGGUAUUGACGCUGAGGUGCGAAAGCGUGGGGAGCAAACAGGAUUAGAUACCCGUGUAGUCCCUGUCUCUUAUAA